ACCACCAAAAUUUAAUAGUACCAAUGCCCCUAAUAUAUAAACCUGCCCGCAAAAUUUUAGACAUUUUUGACUAAAGAAACAAGAGUUAUUUAUUAACUAUCGAAGUAGGUCAACAAAUCGUCUCUUAUCCAAAUCCACACAUAAAGAAAACCCUAAACUUUUUUUGCAUUUUCGACGUUUCAAAGUCUUCCGAGUUCAAAAAUGUGAAAAAUUUUUAGAGGAAUCAUUUUAGACCGAUCGCCAUACUUUCCCCGUUAUAUAGUCCUAUCGCAGCCGGAAAAGUAAUAAUGAAAGCGAAAGAAUUUUUAGUCUCGGAUAUGUUUAUUUACUGAUUAAUUGAAUAAUCAACCGCAGUUGCAAUGUAACCGAAAGCCUGAAAAUGCGAGCAUUCUGUUGGGAAGCCAAUUACUUUUUUUUUUUUGCUUUAUUACUCAUGAAUAGCUGUACAGCAACUUCAUUUUAAAGGGGAAGUUUUCUUCUCAAAAUUUAUGUGUAGAAUUCAAAUUUAAGUUGAUAUGUUUCAUGAGGAGAUUCAGAGCAACCAUGGGUAUAUCUGCAGCAGGCUUUUUCUAUGUUAAAAGAGAUUUCUUAAUUCGGAUGGUAAGUAGACUGUAUUCCGUUUUCUCGUCUACAGUGGAUAUAACAGGAGUUAUGACAAAACAGAAAAUGUGUUAUUCAACUUCUAAUGCAGAGAAGUUUUUAUUAAAUAGAACAGAGAACAUAUUUUAGAAACAUACUCUGCAUUAACGAUAUUAAUAUUCAAUUUAAUUUAAUACUGUUUUUAUUUUAUUUUUUGACGUAAUAUUCACAGAAAUAAAUACUUUUGUACAUUCUUAGUGAAAAAACUAGAUUUGUAAUUUUGUGAAAUUACUUUUAUUAAAUUAUAUCACUGAAGCAGAAUCAUCUAUUAUUAUUAUUAAAUGUGAAAUUGCACAUCAUACAUUGAAAUUUCUGUGAGGUUAUCGAAAAUACCCUUUGAAAUUAAUCGGUUAUGCUUUGUUGUUAAUUAUAAAUGCAGUUUUUUAAAUAAAUAUUGUAAUCGCAUAAAUUAAAUUUUCAUAUUGUAUGGGCAAAUUAACAUAUUUAUAUAAAACAGCAGCAUUUCUCUGUCUGUAAUUAAUGGCUACGUAAUGGGUUCAAUAAGAUAUCCAGUCUUGUAUUACAUCAAAUCUAAUGGACGAAUAACGGCGAAAUUUUUAAGACAUUGGCAGUGUUUACUGAAGACAAUACUUUUACGAAAACAUGUUUUUUGUAUCUUACUUUUAUUGUAAAGGCUUACUUUAUUUGUUGACAUUUUUACGAAUUGUUGUUUCACUUAUCUCUUAUUCUUAUCUCUUUCACAAUUCUUAUCUCUUUCAUUAA
rnacentral:misc_RNA from 1 species